rnacentral:rRNA from 1 species
UACGAAGGGGGCUAGCGUUGCUCGGAAUCACUGGGCGUAAAGGGUGCGUAGGCGGGUCUUUAAGUCAGGGGUGAAAUCCUGGAGCUCAACUCCAGAACUGCCUUUGAUACUGAAGAUCUUGAGUUCGGGAGAGGUGAGUGGAACUGCGAGUGUAGAGGUGAAAUUCGUAGAUAUUCGCAAGAACACCAGUGGCGAAGGCGGCUCUCUGGGCCUUUCCUGACGCUGAGACGCGAAAGCGUGGGGAGCGAACCGG